GAGCACGUAGGUGGGUUUGUAAGUCAGGUGUGAAAGCCUUCUGUUCAACGGAAGAAUUGCAUCUGAAACUGCGAGUCUUGAGUGUAGGAGGGGAGAAUGGAACUUCUGGUGGAGCGGUGAAAUGCGUAGAUAUCAGAAGGAACGCCGGCGGCGAAAGCGAUUCUCUGGCCUAUUACUGACACUCAGUGUGCGAAAGCUAGGGGAGCAAACGGGAUUAGAUACCCCGGUAGUCCUAGCCGUAAACGAUGGGCACUAAGUAAAGGGAAUUACCGAUGUUCUCUCUGCCGUAGCUAACGCAUUAAGUGCCCCGCCCGGGGAGUACGGCCGCAAGGCUAAAACUCAAAAGAAUUGACGGGGGCUCGCACAAGCGGUGGAGCAUGUGGCUUAAUUCGAUGCAACGCGAAAAACCUUACCGGGGCUUGACAUGGUAGAAGUAGGAACCCGUAAGGGCAACGAACGGUAUCCAGUCCGUAGCUAUCACAGGUGUUGCAUGGCUGUCGUCAGCUCGUGUCGUGAGACGUUGGGUUAAGUCCCCUAACGAGCGAAACCCUUGUUUUUAGUUACCAGCGGGUUAUGCCGGGUACUCUAGAAAGACUGCCGUCGUCAAGACGGAGGAAGGUGGGGAUGACGUCAAGUCAUCAUGGCCCUUAUGCCCCGGGCUGCACACGUGCUACAAUGGUCGGUACAAACGGAUGCGAAGCCGAGAGGUGAAGCGAAUCC
rnacentral:rRNA from 1 species